UGGAUGUGACGCAUGAUUUGUUGCAUAGUCAUGCAAAUUUCGCUUUUGCGUGACUCUAAAAUGUGAUUGGUUAAGCGUUUGCAUCUGUUUUGAUGUCCAAGCAUUUGAUUGGCUAACGAUUCAAACGCAGUUUGUUUGAAAGAUUUCUAAACUGUCGAGCUUCUUCGAAUUACUCAUUUCUUUCACGCGUAUGUACGGUUCGUUUUGUGAAUAUUUUACUUCGAUCUUUGAUCAGGAAUCUCGAGAUUUUUUCAGAAUUUAUAAUCACUUCGAAAAGCCAAGAGAGGGAUUAGUUCGUGUUUCUUUACACUGGUAGCCGAUAAGCGUGAUAAGAAACUAACAACUCCGAGCAACGAUGCAUAGGGCAACUUCAAGGGAAAGGUUCGGUUCUGCAAAAGUUCCAAAAGAACUGGAUCAGUAUAUUGUGGAUCCUACUACGAAAAAGCGUUAUCACCGUGGCCGUUUCCUUGGCAAGGGAGGAUUUGCAAAAUGCUACGAACUCACCGAUAUGGAGACGAAGGAGAUCUUGGCUGGGAAGAUCAUUUCAAAGACCAUGUUGACGAAACCGCACCAAAAAGAAAAGAUGUCCAUGGAAAUUGCCAUUCAUCGCUCGGUGGGACAAAAGAAAAGCCUCGGCUCGGAGCCGCACAAAUAAAUCGUUGGUUUUCGUGGAUUUUUCGAAGAUGAUGACUACAUAUAUAUCCUGUUGGAGUUUUGCAGACGAAGGUCCAUGAUGGAACUUCACAAACGUCGCAAAGCCUUGACUGAACCAGAAGUCAGAUAUUUCAUGAAGCAAAUUGUCGAGGGCACUAAAUAUCUCCAUGACAAUAAAAUCAUUCACCGAGAUCUCAAGCUUGGAAAUUUAUUCCUGAAUGAUGAGAUGGAUGUCAAGAUUGGAGAUUUUGGCCUGGCAACCAGAGUUGAGAUUGAUGGGGAAAGGAAAAAGUAAGAUACCUAUUAAAGAAAGCUUCGAGCAUGGGAACAAGAUAGCUCUAUAUUAAAAGAAUGAAAAUGUCUUGUGGUAAAGAGCAAAUGGGGAACAAAUACAAAAAUGUGCAAUUACAAGCACAUAUUGAAAUUUUGGUUUCCUGAUACAUGUUUCCAUCAUGUGAUAUCAUGUGGUUGUCACUAUCAAACAGUUCUCAAACAAAGAUUAUAACUUAACCAAAGUAAAGUGCACGCUCUGAGUGGUCAAUUUAGCGUCCCCCAUUUGCCCAUGGGUGUAC